CACACACACACACACACACACCCCACGAUGAGCUGGUCCUAUGGACUCCAGCACAGGAAAGCUGGGGUCUAAUAAAGCAACUGCCUUCUCCAAACCUCUGAAAAAAUAAUGAGGAUCGCCCUCUCCUCCAGCUGAACCCAACCAACUUCAAAGGGCAGUCAGCGAUUUUCCAGAGACAGGACACAUGGGGGCGGGGGGAGGCCCAAGCAAACCAAACUGAGAGGACUCCCUCAAUUACCUAAGGGCAUAACGAAGUUCCCAGAAAGGGAACUGCUUCCAGUAUUUCAAGGCAGCUUCCCAUUCACCAGAGUACAACUCAUUUCAGCAGUCACGAAGGAGACCCUCAAUUACUCCAUUUAGCUCAGACCAAAAUGAACGACACCCUCCCCAGCCUCCUUUAUUGGUUAAGUGCCAUUAAGUAAAAGUGCCCUGUCCAGCCUUUGCUCUCAAACAGCCGCAAAACCAAGCGUGUCCGGUUGGUCGUCUGAACCGAUCCCCAAGAACUUAAGGCUUUCCCAACCCCGGCCGCGGAGGGGUAGACAUUGCUUUACUGACUGGCUCUUUCUUGACACCUGGGCCUUCCUGACAGGGCAGCGGGUAGGUGUCUUUGCCGGCUCUAGACAGAGACGGGGGUUCUGUCUGAGAGGGCUGUCUGACGCUCCGGCAGCAGAGUGGCAGCGGCGAGGAGCUGCAGUUCCCGGGCGCAGGGAGAGGGCCAGGGAGAGGGGAGCCACAGAGAAGACGCGAGAGGGUAUAAACACUUUAAGUGGCGAUCCCCGAGAAAGGCGGCACCACGCGGGGGAGAUGGCAAGAGAGCGAGCGGUACACAGGGUACCAAAUCCACACCCCAGCAACAAACCCACCCAUCAUCUUGCCUGAUUAGGGCAGAGAGACUGACUACCUUUGGCGGCAGGAAAAAUCAUAUGUUGUAAACAAGAAUCCUAAAUGAAUGGGUUCCAAUUGAGACUGGAGAAAGCACCUGUGGUUUUUUUUCCCCAAGUAUACACCCUGAAGCAAAAGGAAGAAAGCCACAGCAAAAGAGAUAUCAAGUGGACAGGAGCAUGUUAGAAUCGCUGAUUUUUCCCUGUGGGUAUUCCUGCUCAAUCUUUUCAGCCUGAGCUACACUGAAGGUUUCAGGCCUCUCCCUCUGCUCCAGGAUUUGGGCAGACUGUCUGGGACUCUAAGUAGGGGUGUGAGUGACCAAAGACUGUUAGCCAACAGGCUGCCUUAUGAGAGGAAUCCCAAGCACAGAGCCAGGCUAGCAUCUGAGUUCGAGGGAGCUAGACCAACCCAGCAAGGCCUCCCAGCAGAGCAGCAGCGGUGCUGGGCAGUGUUUGUCUGGAGCCAGGAGCCUGGAAUCAAGAAGCCUGUUCUGCACUUCCAGGAACGACGCCAAGCCCAAAGCUGUGCUCUCGCUUGUGCGGAGAGGUUGGGACUCCGCAGCUAUGCACGAUACUGGCGAUUAGCCCCUUUUAACCUAGCACAUGAUCAGGUGUGGUUAGGAACCCACUUACCCACUACUCAGAACAGACCCAUCAUGGGGCUAAAACCUCAGAGGCUAGAGUGGCUGUGACCAUCUCA